rnacentral:tRNA from 1 species
GGGCGAUUAGCUCAGUUGGUAGAGCAUCUCCCUUACAAGGACGGGGGUCACUGGUUCGAGCCCGGUAUCGCCCACCA